rnacentral:rRNA from 1 species
GACGAACGCUGGCGGCGUGCCUAAUACAUGCAAGUCGAGCGGACGAAUCGAAAGCUUGCUUUUGAUUCGUUAGCGGCGGACGGGUGAGUAACACGUGGGCAACCUGCCCUGUAGACGGGGAUAACACCGAGAAAUCGGUGCUGAUACCGGAUAACACGAAAUGUCGCAUGACGUUUCGUUGAAAGACGGCGCAAGCUGUCGCUACAGGAUGGGCCCGCGGCGCAUUAGCUAGUUGGUGAGGUAACGGCUCACCAAGGCGACGAUGCGUAGCCGACCUGAGAGGGUGAUCGGCCACACUGGGACUGAGACACGGCCCAGACUCCUACGGGAGGCAGCAGUAGGGAAUCUUCCGCAAUGGACGAAAGUCUGACGGAGCAACGCCGCGUGAGCGAAGAAGGCCUUCGGGUCGUAAAGCUCUGUUGUUAGGGAAGAACAAGUAACGCAGUAACUGGCG